rnacentral:rRNA from 1 species
UAGGGAAUCUUCCGCAAUGGACGAAAGUCUGACGGAGCAACGCCGCGUGAGUGAAGAAGGAUUUCGGUUCGUAAAACUCUGUUGUUAGGGAAGAAAAAAUGUAUAGUAACUAUAUACAAAAGAGACGGUACCUAACCAGAAAGCCACGGCUAACUACGUGCCAGCAGCCGCAGUAAUACGUAGGUGGCAAGCGUUGUCCGGAAUUAUUGGGCGUAAAGCGCGCGCAGGUGGUUUAGAAAGUCUGAUGUGAAAGCCCACGGCUCAACCGUGGAGGGUCAUUGGAAACUAAUAAACUUGAGUGCAGGAGAGAAAAGUGGAAUUCCUAGUGUAGCGGUGAAAUGCGUAGAGAUUAGGAGGAACACCGGUGGCGAAAGCGGCUUUUUGGCCUGCAACUGACACUGAGGCGCGAAAGCGUGGGGAGCAAACAGG